rnacentral:rRNA from 1 species
UACUCCUACGGGAGGCAGCAGUGAGGAAUAUUGGUCAAUGGGCGCGAGCCUGAACCAGCCAAGUCGCGUGAGGGAUGACGGCCCUACGGGUCGUAAACCUCUUUUGCCGGGGAGCAAGGGCGGGGACGUGUCCCGGCCCGGAGAGUACCCGGAGAAAAAGCAUCGGCUAACUCCGUGCCAGCAGCCGCGGUAAUACGGAAGAUGCGAGCGUUAUCCGGAUUUAUUGGGUUUAAAGGGUGCGUAGGCGGGCUUUUAAGUCAGCGGUAAAAAUUCGGGGCUCAACCCCGUCCGGCCGUUGAAACUGG